rnacentral:rRNA from 1 species
AUUGAACGCUGGCGGCAGGCCUAACACAUGCAAGUCGAGCGGCAGCACAGAGGAACUUGUUCCUUGGGUGGCGAGCGGCGGACGGGUGAGUAAUGCCUGGGAAAUUGCCCUGAUGUGGGGGAUAACCAUUGGAAACGAUGGCUAAUACCGCAUGAUGCCUACGGGCCAAAGAGGGGGACCUUCGGGCCUCUCGCGUCAGGAUAUGCCCAGGUGGGAUUAGCUAGUUGGUGAGGUAAUGGCUCACCAAGGCGACGAUCCCUAGCUGGUCUGAGAGGAUGAUCAGCCACACUGGAACUGAGACACGGUCCAGACUCCUACGGGAGGCAGCAGUGGGGAAUAUUGCACAAUGGGCGCAAGCCUGAUGCAGCCAUGCCGCGUGUAUGAAGAAGGCCUUCGGGUUGUGAAGCUCUUUUGGCGGGGACGAUGAUGACGGUACCCGCAGAAUAAGCCCCGGCUAACUUCGUGCCAGCAGCCGCCGU